CGCACGCGUCUGCCGCAAGAUCUGAGAGGCGAAAGGGGCUCUUGGGGCGUGUAGUCUUUAGGAAAGCCUACUAUUCACUCUAAACUAAGACAUAACGAUACUGGAAAUCGGUAGGCACCAGCACAUAAAAGGUACGAUGAAUUACUCCCGGUUUUUAACAGCAGUGAGUGCCGCUCGGAAGCCGUCUCCAAUUCGCAUACUGACGGAACUUCAGCAGAGGUCCCCCCCCACGCUAAUCUCACUGGCAGGGGGGGCUCCAAACCCCAGCACCUUCCCUUUCCAGUCGGUCAUCAUCACCCUGAAGAAUGGGGGCAGCAUCAAAUUUGACGAGGCAUCCAUGAAUAGGGCGCUGCAGUACUCCGGCUCCUACGGAAUCCCAGAGCUGAUAUCCUGGAUGAAGGACCUCCAGAGGGCGCUGCACAGCCCCCCCACGGUGGCGUACGCGGCGGAGAAGGGCCGCAUGGAGAUGUGCGUGACGACGGGAAGCCAAGAGGGCCUUUGCAAGGUGUUUGAGAUGCUAAUUAAUCCUGGGGACAACGUGCUCCUGGAUGCCCCUACGUACUCCGGGACGCUUGCCGCGCUCCAGCCGCUGGGCUGUAACAUCAUCAACAUCGCCAGCGACCAUCACGGGAUGAUCCCGGAAGCCCUCAGGAGGGUUCUGUCCCGGUGGGACCCGGCCGAGGUCCGGAGGCCCGGCAGCACCGUCCCGCGGGUCCUCUACACCAUCCCCAACGGGGGCAAUCCCACGGGGGCCUCUUUGACCGCUGAGAGGAAGAGGGAGAUCUAUCAGCUUGCCAGAGAGUAUGACCUCCUGAUAGUCGAGGACGAUCCCUACUAUUUCCUGCAGUUCCAGAAGCCUUGGGCUCCCACGUUCCUCUCCAUGGACGUGGAUGGACGGAUCAUCCGGAUGGACUCCUUCUCGAAGAUCCUGUCGUCGGGCCUGCGGAUUGGCUUCAUGACGGGGCCCCAGACGCUCGUGGAGAGGGUGGUGCUCCACAUCCAGGCCUCCACUAUGCACACCAGCACGUUCACUCAGCUCAUGGUCUCCAAGCUGCUGCAGGACUGGGGUCAGGACGGCUUCCUCAGACACGUGGACAGCGUGGUGGAGUUCUACAGAAAGCAGCGUGAUGCCAUGAUCUCCUCAGCAGACCGGUGGCUCAAAGAUGUGGCAGAGUGGCACACUCCCACUGCGGGCAUGUUCCUGUGGAUCAAGCUGAAGGGCAUCUCGGACACGCAGAAGCUGAUCAUGGAGAAGGCUUUGGAGAAGGAGGUGAAGGCCAACGUUUCUCCCACCAUUCUCCUCAGUGACCCCUCGGCCUGCUCAGCUAAGAUUGCAAACAUGGUUUUCCGAUUCUUAUCUGAAUCCACCGAAUGGGCGUUUUGUGUAAUUCGGCACCCUACUGAUGGGGAGGCAGCCUGAGCUUGUCUGUUCAUCAUCCCGGUGCUGACUGACAGCCGCUGAUCAUUACACAGUAAGCUGUGUAAUCAUUUUGGAUAACAGUGUCUGCAGAGAGACUAAAUAAAUAUACCAUAAGGUUGCAAAAAUAAACACGGAUGCCAGUCCCACACAGACAGGGAACGCGAGCCUGACCAGCGUGUUCUAUUUGCUGAGUCAGUUUCCCAUAUAGAUUUCUCACCCCGGAGAAACUAGCAGAGUCAUCGCUCCUUGGAAAUCACACGCACGGUCUCAAAACCCGACGGCUCCGCUGUGAACCACCAUCCUGUUACUGUAACACCGUGUGUUCAUUUAUGGUUUAUCAUCCUCAAUCUCCCAUGAGUCCUCAGUGGUGGGGAAAGUAUCACAGAUAGCAGUGAAUUGCUCACUGCGAAUAAAAUGUGAAGAAAUUAAGCUAUUAAGCCAUAAUUUUUAGGUCAGGAGUGGUACCAAGAUUAAACAUGGGGAACACUGUAUAAAAUUAAACUUUGGCUUAUUUACUUUCAUCCACUAUCAUUCUUCUAACCAGUUAUCUUAGUCAGAGACAUGGGAGGGGAUUGGAACCUAACCCAAGCACAGGGGGCACCAGGCUGGUGUAGAGCCAGGACAGGAAGAAGGGAGAAUCCCGUUUUAGUGCUGUUAUAUUGUUCAUUUUGAGUUGCACGGCUUGGGCAUUCAGCUUAAAGGAACUAUUGCAUUUGAAAGCACUGGAGGACAAAAAAAAGGGGUUUGUAGAACUACUGAGAGCCCCACUAAUCUGAAUGUGAAUGCAGAGGGCGGCACUGCACGGGAAUGCUGGGGAGGCUGUCUGAGGACAAGCUUGCCUUUCCUCCCACGCCAGCACUCUGCUCCCAUUGGCUGCUUCCGUACGAAAGACUGGGGUGGGCGGCUACCCGUCCUGCCAGUCUUCUCGUGGGAUUUUUCUGUUUGCUUUUUUUCCUUGUUCCUUUCUUCCUGGAACAGAGGGACUUGCAACUAGAGAGAGAACACGGAUGGACGGCCCCCAUUGGCUGGGAGUGGUGAUCCACAAAGGAGCCAGCCAAUCAGGAGUUAGAGUCAAUGAUCAUAAUGGAUUGUCUGGUUGAGCAAGAUCCCUAGAAUAUCCGUGUUUACAGUUAACGAAAGCAUGCCUGCUUUAAUUAAAUUUUGAUCUGCAUAUGUCCGCAGUAAUGGUGCCAUGUUGGUUGAUUAUAUUCCUGGCGUGUAUUUCUUGGUGAUGGUUUGUUGGCUCUCCAGGUUCUCCUGGUUCCUGGCGGGGUCUUCAACAUCGACAGCUCUCUGCCCUGUCCUUACGUGCGGGCCGCCUUCUCCUUGUCUACCCCGCAGCAGAUCGAUGAGGCUUUCAAGAGAUUGUCUGCACUUAUCAAGGAGUCGUUGUAAAUCGU